GACGAACGCUGGCGGCGCGCCUAACACAUGCAAGUCGAACGGAGCUUAGAGAGCUUGCUUUUUAAGCUUAGUGGCGAACGGGUGAGUAACGCGUGAGUAACCUGCCCUAGAGUGGGGGACAACAGUUGGAAACGACUGCUAAUACCGCAUAAGCCCACGGUACCGCAUGGUACUGAGGGAAAAGGAUUUAUUCGCUUUAGGAUGGACUCGCGUCCAAUUAGCUAGUUGGUGAGGUAACGGCCCACCAAGGCGACGAUUGGUAGCCGGACUGAGAGGUUGAACGGCCACAUUGGGACUGAGACACGGCCCAGACUCCUACGGGAGGCAGCAGUGGGGGAUAUUGCACAAUGGGGGAAACCCUGAUGCAGCGACGCCGCGUGGAGGAAGAAGGUUUUCGGAUUGUAAACUCCUGUCGUUAGGGACGAUAAUGACGGUACCUAACAAGAAAGCACCGGCUAACUACGUGCCAGCAGCCGCGGUAAAACGUAGGGUGCAAGCGUUGUCCGGAAUUACUGGGUGUAAAGGGAGCGCAGGCGGGAAGACAGUUGGAAGUGAAAACCAUGGGCUCAACCCAUGAAUUGCUUUCAAACUGUUUUUCUUGAGUAGUGCAGAGGUAGAUGGAAUUCCCGGUGUAGCGGUGGAAUGCGUAGAUAUCGGGAGGAACACCAGUGGCGAAGGCGGUCUACUGGGCACCAACUGACGCUGAGGCUCGAAAGCAUGGGUAGCAAACAGGAUUAGAUACCCUGGUAGUCCAUGCCGUAAACGAUGAUUACUAGGUGUUGGGGGAUUGACCCCCUCAGUGCCGCAGUUAACACAAUAAGUAAUCCACCUGGGGAGUACGACCGCAAGGUUGAAACUCAAAGGAAUUGACGGGGGCCCGCACAAGCAGUGGAGUAUGUGGUUUAAUUCGAAGCAACGCGAAGAACCUUACCAGGUCUUGACAUCCGACGCAUAGCACAGAGAUGUGUGAAAUCCUUCGGGACAUCGAGACAGGUGGUGCAUGGUUGUCGUCAGCUCGUGUCGUGAGAUGUUGGGUUAAGUCCCGCAACGAGCGCAACCCUUAUUGCCAGUUACUACGUUAAGAGGACUCUGGCGAGACUGCCGUUGACAAAACGGAGGAAGGUGGGGAUGACGUCAAAUCAUCAUGCCCUUUAUGACCUGGGCUACACACGUACUACAAUGGCGUUAAACAAAGAGAAGCAAGACCGCGAGGUGGAGCAAAACUCAAAAACAACGUCUCAGUUCAGAUUGCAGGCUGCAACUCGCCUGCAUGAAGUCGGAAUUGCUAGUAAUCGCGGAUCAGCAUGCCGCGGUGAAUACGUUCCCGGGCCUU
rnacentral:rRNA from 1 species